GACGAACGCUGGCGGCGUGCUUAACACAUGCAAGUCGAACGGAAAGGCCCUGCUUUUGUGGGGUGCUCGAGUGGCGAACGGGUGAGUAACACGUGAGUAACCUGCCCUUGACUUUGGGAUAACUUCAGGAAACUGGGGCUAAUACCGGAUAGGAGCUCCUGCUGCAUGGUGGGGGUUGGAAAGUUUCGGCGGUUGGGGAUGGACUCGCGGCUUAUCAGCUUGUUGGUGGGGUAGUGGCUUACCAAGGCUUUGACGGGUAGCCGGCCUGAGAGGGUGACCGGCCACAUUGGGACUGAGAUGCGGACCAGACUCCUACGGGAGGCAGCAGUGGGGAAUAUUGCACAAUGAGCGGAAGCCUGAUGCAGCAACGCCGCGUGCGGGAUGACGGCCUUCGGGUUAUAAACCGCUUUCGCCUGUGACGAAGCGUGAGUGACGGUAAUGGGUAAAGAAGCACCGGCUAACUACGUG
rnacentral:rRNA from 1 species